CUUCUUCAGCCGUUAGGACGUGCCCGACGGCGGGUAGGCGCGGACGGUACAAAGAGUUAAAUUUUUUUUUUUUUUCCCUCAAGGCUCUCGGGUUCUAGCCGAAGAGUCAGAUGAGUAGAGACGCAGAGAAGAUGACCCUGGAACCGCUAGAGGAAGAAGGUACUGAUUGAGAUCUGGGGUGGAGCCUAGCUCAGGAGAAAUGCAGAAGGUAGAGGGCACCCGGGUGGCUCGGUCACGACCUCGGUGCUUGCUGCCUGCCUUACAGCCCCUGUGAUGGAGAAAUACCAUAGUAAACAUGUGGCGAUAA